GACUCUUCUGAACCGGACACUGGAGACUCUUCUGAACCUGACACUGGAGACUCUUCUGAACCUGACACUGGAGACUCUUCUGAACCUGACACUGAAGACAGUGCUGAUUGGAAAGAGACCAGAGAACCAGCAUCAGGUAACCAGCUGAUCACUUCCUGCCUGUGCAGCUGGGCAUUUUCUUUGGUGUAGAUAAAUAAACUUGUGUUCUCUUUCACCCUGACUGUUAUUGGUUGUUGUGUGUUACUGUCUCCAUUUCCCUACACUUUAUUAGGGAUGUAACAAACACAUUAAUCUAUAAAAGAUGAAAUAAUCCAGUAAUUCAAUAUAUAUGAUUCUAAAAUGGGACAUUACGCACAGUAAGUAGUAGUGGUUGAUGCCAAUACGUCUCAGUUUAUGCUGCUUUAUACUUCUACUUUAAUACAUUUUAGAAGACAGUAUUGUACUUUUUAAUCCACUGCAUUAAUUUCACAGCUUUUAGUUACUAGGUAGAUAUAGAUUAUUAGAUCAUUCAAAAAUAUAAAUCAAUUAUUAAAUACACCUUGACAGUUAUUUAUAGGAUAAGAUAUCCAGCAGCAGGACAUAAGGUUAUUCAAAUUAGCUAUAUUAGCUCUAUCUCCUGUCAGCAGUCAGAUACAAACUACAGGACAUCCUGAGAGAGGAAUGGAAAAACGUCUCACCGACUGAAGUGGAUGUUUUACUGUCAGCAGCAGAGCCCGCCACCAGAGCUGGGUUCUUCAAUUAUUCACAGGAGAUCACUCUGGAUCCAAACACAGCAAACACACGGCUGGUAUUAUCUGAGGGGAGCAGAAAAGCAACAUACAUGAAACCACACAAGUCUUAUUCUAGUCACCCAGACAGAUUCACUUUAUAUCCUCAGGUCCUGAGUAGAGAGAGUCUGACUGGACGUUGUUACUGGGAGGUGGAGUGGAGAGGGGCAGAAGUUGAAGUAGCAGUAGCAUACAAGAAUAUCAGCAGAGUAGGGGAUGGGAAUGAAUGUGGAUUUGGAAACAAUGACAAAUCUUGGGCGUUAUAUUGUGACAAAAACAGUUAUUAAUUUCUUUACAACAGAAUCAAAACUCCCGUCUCAGGUCCUCUGUCCUCCAGAGUAGGAGUGUACCUUGAUCACAGAGCAGGUAUUCUGUCCUUCUACAGCAUCUCUGAAACCAUGACUCUCCUCCACAGAGUCCAGACCACAUUCACUCAGCCUCUACAUGCUGGAGUUGGGCUUUAUUAUCCUAAUGGAACCACAGCUGAGUUGUGUAAACUGAAAUAGCCUGAAGUCAUUUGAGGAACUCUUCUACCUCUUAAACUCAUUGUGUGUCCAUCAUUGUUGCUGAGAGCUGGUUGUUCAUGUCUUCACUGCACAGAGAUCAGCUGUCAAUCUAACAUUAUGGGAUGUGCUUUAACAUCUUCAGAGUUGUUCUGUAGAUGUUGGAGUUUAUUUUAGGCGGCGCUCCUUCCUGUGUCUGUUUAGUUAACCUCAACUGAGAUUUCUCUGCUUGAAAAUGUAAACUUUGCUCUAAAUAUUUGUUGAAUAGGUCUUUUAGUUUUGACUAAGUCUCAAUGUGUUGGAUGCAUUAAUGAAAGUUUGAAAAAGGAAAGAAAACACAUUAAAAGAAAAGCUAAUAGGUUGAGUUUGUUAUAAAUUGUGUUUCUAUUUUCAAGAUGUGAGAUGAGUGCCACAUUUACAGUAACAAAUAAAAUGUUGGGAUUUUUCUUGUUAAUAAAAGAGCUAAGAGAACACAAGU